rnacentral:piRNA from 1 species
UAGAGGUGCUGUGAUAAAAUCCUGCAGGACC